rnacentral:tRNA from 1 species
GUGGGGAUAUAGCACACUGGUAGAGUGCUUGCCUGCCAUGUUAGAGGCCCUGGGAUCAAUCCCAGCACCACA